rnacentral:tRNA from 5 species
GGAAGGGUGGCCGAGCGGUUGAAGGCGCGGCUCUCGAAAAGCCGUAUCCCGCCAAACGGGAUCGUGGGUUCAAAUCCCACCCCUUCCG